UGCGGCGUUUGCAACAACUUCCAUGCUUUCAGACCUCUUCAGUUGUGCGGCAAGGCUUGUAUCGCCUUGAGCGUAUUGUGGGUUUUCUGUGUUGGCUACCUAAUCAAUGGUAUCGGUUGGAUUGAUCAAUGUUUCAUUUCGUCUACCGUCGCAUUCGCGGCGUGAGAUGAACCUUGAUGCGGUCUCUUUGAUCCACCUCGUCGAAGCGCAUGCUUUGGCGUUGUGGCACAUUGAGCAUUGCUUGGUCUCUUGUAUACGGAACAUAUAGUGGGCAUGGAUCUAACGAUUCUCGUUUGCCCUCAUAUUAGCGUAACGCUUCUCUUACACGACUUGCWCCACGUUUUAGCUCGUACGGACGUGGUGCUAUGUCGAAGAGGAAUGCUACCUGGUUGAUCCUGC
rnacentral:misc_RNA from 2 species